rnacentral:rRNA from 1 species
UGGGGAAUAUUGGACAAUGGGCGCAAGCCUGAUCCAGCCAUGCCGCGUGUGUGAAGAAGGCCUUUUGGUUGUAAAGCACUUUAAGCGAGGAGGAGGCUACUUGGAUUAAUACUCUAGGAUAGUGGACGUUACUCGCAGAAUAAGCACCGGCUAACUCUGUGCCAACAGCCGCGGUAAUACAGAGGGUGCGAGCGUUAAUCGGAUUUACUGGGCGUAAAGCGUGCGUAGGCGGCUUUUUAAGUCGGAUGUGAAAUCCCUGAGCUUAACUUAGGAAUUGCAUUCGAUACUGGGAAGCUAGAGUAUGGGAGAGGAUGGUAGAAUUCCAGGUGUAGCGGUGAAAUGCGUAGAGAUCUGGAGGAAUACCGAUGGCGAAGGCAGCCAUCUGGCCUAAUACUGACGCUGAGGUACGAAAGCAUGGGGAGCAAACAGG